rnacentral:rRNA from 1 species
CCUACGGGUGGCAGCAGUGGGGAAUAUUGGACAAUGGGGGGAACCCUGAUCCAGCCAUGCCGCGUGUGUGAAGAAGGCCCUCGGGUUGUAAAGCACUUUCAGUGAGGAAGAACGCCUGGUGGUUAAUACCCAUCAGGAAAGACAUCACUCACAGAAGAAGCACCGGCUAACUCCGUGCCAGCAGCCGCGGUAAUACGGAGGGUGCGAGCGUUAAUCGGAAUUACUGGGCGUAAAGCGCGCGUAGGUGGCUUGAUAAGCCGGUUGUGAAAGCCCCGGGCUCAACCUGGGAACGGCAUCCGGAACUGUCAAGCUAGAGUGCAGGAGAGGAAGGUAGAAUUCCCGGUGUAGCGGUGAAAUGCGUAGAGAUCGGGAGGAAUACCAGUGGCGAAGGCGGCCUUCUGGACUGACACUGACACUGAGGUGCGAAAGCGUGGGUAGCAAACAGGAUUAGAUACCCUGGUUGUC